UACGAAGGGGGCUAGCGUUGUUCGGAAUUACUGGGCGUAAAGCGCGCGCAGGCGGUUCUUUAAGUCAGGGGUGAAAUCCCAGAGCUCAACUCUGGAAUUGCCUUUGAAACUAGAGAACUUGGGUACGGGAGAGGUGAGUGGAAUUCCGAGUGUAGAGGUGAAAUUCGUAGAUAUUCGGAGGAACACCAGUGGCGAAGGCGGCUCACUGGCCCGUUACCGACGCUCAGGCGCGACAGCGUGGGGAGCAAACAGG
rnacentral:rRNA from 1 species